CAAGACCUGCGCUUUUGGAGCGGCCGAUGCCUGAUUAGCUUGUUGGUAAGGUAAAAGCUUACCAAGGCUUCGAUCAGUAGCUGGUCUGAGAGGACGGCCAGCCACACUGGGACUGAGACACGGCCCAGACUCCUACGGGAGGCAGCAGUGGGGAACUUUGGACAAUGGGGGCAACCCUGAUCCAGCCAUGCCGCGUGAGUGAAGAAGGCCUUCGGGUUGUAAAGCUCUUUCAGCCGGAACGAAACGGUUACGGUUAAUACCCGUGAUUACUGACGGUACCGGAAGAAGAAGCACCGGCUAACUACGUGCCAGCAGCCGCGGUAAUACGUAGGGUGCGAGCGUUAAUCGGAAUUACUGGGCGUAAAGCGUGCGCAGGUGGUUUUGUAAGUCAGAUGUGAAAGCCCCGGGCUCAACCUGGGAACU
rnacentral:rRNA from 1 species